GAUGAACGCUAGCUACAGGCUUAACACAUGCAAGUCGAGGGACCGGCGCACGGGUGAGUAACACGUAUCCAACCUGCCCUUUACUCGGGGAUAGCCUUUCGAAAGAAAGAUUAAUACCCGAUGUAAAGGAUGGGGAUGCGUUCCAUUAGGUUGUUGGUGAGGUAACGGCACACCAAGCCUUCGAUGGAUAGGGGUUCUGAGAGGAAGGUCCCCUACAUUGGAACUGAGGCACGGUCCAAACUCGUACGGGAGGCAGCAGUGAGGAAUAGUGGUCAAUGGGCGUUAGCCUGAAUCAGCCAAGUAGCGUGAAGGAUGAAGGGUUAUGGGGCGUAAACUUCUUUUAUAUAAGAAUAUGUAUUAUAUGAAUAAGGAUCGGCUAACUCCGUGCCAGCAGCCGCGGUAAUUC
rnacentral:rRNA from 1 species